AACGCUAGCUACAGGCUUAACACAUGCAAGUCGAGGGGCAGCAUGGAUCAAGCUUGCUUGAUCUGAUGGCGACCGGCGCACGGGUGCGUAACGCGUAUCCAACCUUCCCGUUACUCUCGGACAGCCUUCCGAAAGGGAGAUUAAUACGAGAUGGUGUUCAAGUGGUGCAUAUUAUUUGAACUAAAGAUUUAUCGGUAACGGAUGGGGAUGCGUACCAUUAGCUUGUUGGCGGGGUAACGGCCCACCAAGGCUUCGAUGGUUAGGGGUUCUGAGAGGAAGAUCCCCCACACUGGAACUGAGACACGGUCCAGACUCCUACGGGAGGCAGCAGUGAGGAAUAUUGGUCAAUGGCCGAGAGGCUGAACCAGCCAAGUAGCGUGAAGGAUGAAGGUUCUAUGGAUUGUAAACUUCUUUUAUACGGGAAUAACACCACCUACGUGUAGGUGCCUGCAUGUACCGUAUGAAUAAGCAUCGGCUAACUCCGUGCCAGCAGCCGCGGUAAUACGGAGGAUGCGAGCGUUAUCCGGAUUUAUUGGGUUUAAAGGGAGCGUAGACGGGUGAUUAAGUCAGUUGUGAAAGGCUGCGGCUCAACCGCAGCACUGCAGUUGAUACUGGUUACCUUGAGUGCGUACGAGGUACGUGGAAUUCGUGGUGUAGCGGUGAAAUGCUUAGAUAUCACGAAGAACCCCGAUUGCGAAGGCAGCGUACCAGUCCGUAACUGACGUUGAUGCUCGAAAGUGUGGGUAUCAAACAGGAUUAGAUACCCUGGUAGUCCACACGGUAAACGAUGGACACUCGCUGUUGGCGAUAUACUGUCAGCGGCCAAGCGAAAGCGUUAAGUGUCCCACCUGGGGAGUACGCCGGCAACGGUGAAACUCAAAGGAAUUGACGGGGGCCCGCACAAGCGGAGGAACAUGUGGUUUAAUUCGAUGAUACGCGAGGAACCUUACCCGGGCUUAAAUUACAGAGGACAGAUCCAGAGACGGAUCCUUCUUCGGACCUCUGUGAAGGUGCUGCAUGGUUGUCGUCAGCUCGUGCCGUGAGGUGUCGGCUUAAGUGC
rnacentral:rRNA from 1 species